UUUGAUCAUGGCUGGGUCCGAACGCUGGCAGGAUGCUUUACACAUGCAAGUCGAACGGCGGCACGGACUUCGGUCUGUGAGCGAGUGGCGAACAGGUGAGUAAUGUAUCGGAACGUGCCUAGUAGCGGGGGAUAACUACGCGAAGGCGUAGCUAAUACCACAUACGCCCUUCGGGGGAAAGCGGGGGACCUUCGGGCCUCGCCUCUAUUAAACGGCGAUAUCGGAUUAGCUAGUUGGUGGGGUAACGGCUCACCAAGGCGGCGAUCCGUAGCUGGUUUGAGAGGACGACCAGCCACACUGGGACUGAGACACGGCCCGGGACUCCUACGGGAGGCAGCAGUGAGAAUUUUGGACAAUGGAAACCUGAUCCAGCCAUCCGCGUGUGCGAUGAAGGCCUUCAGGUUGUAAAGCACUUUUGGCAGGAAAGAAGCAGCUGCAGGAUAAUACCCCGUGCAACUGACAGUACCUGCAGAAUAAGCACCGGCUAACUACGUGCCAGCAGCGCGAUACGUAGGGUGCAAGCGUUAAUCGGAAUUACUGGGCGUAAAGCGUGCGCAGGCGGUUCGGAAAGAAAGAUGUGAAAUCCCAGAGCUUAACUUUGGAACUGCAUUUUUAACUACCGAGCUAGAGUGUGUCAGAGGGAGGUGGAAUUCACGUCAAAGCAGGUGAAAUGCGUAGAUAUGCGGAGGAACACCGAUGGCGAAGGCAGCCUCCUGGGAUAACACUGACGCUCAUGCACGAAAGCGUGGGGAGCAAACAGGAUUGAUACCCUGGUAGUCCACGCCCUAAACGAUGUCAACUAGCUGUUGGGGCCUUCGGGCCUUUGGUGGCGCAGCCGCGCGCGUGAGUUGACCGCCUGGGAGGUACGGUCGCAAGAUUAAACUCAAAGGAAUUGACGGGGACCCGCACAAGCGGUGGAUGAUGUGGAUUAAUUCGAUGCAACGCGAAAAACUACCUACCCUUGACAUGUCUGGAAUCCCGAAGAUUUGGGAGUGCUCGCAAGAGAGCAGGAGCUGGGUGCUGCGCUUGUCGUCAGCUCGUGUCGUGAGAUGUUGGGUUAAGUCCCAUAACGAGCGCAACCCUUGUCGUGCUGAUUGCUACGAAGGGGCACUCUAAUGAGACUGGCGGUGACAAACCGGAGGAAGGUGGGGAUGACGUCGGAGUCCUCAUGGCCCUUAUGGGUAGGGCUUCACACGUCGCACAAUGGUCGGGACAGAUGGUCGCCAACCCGAGGGGAGCCAAUCCCAGAAACCCGAUCGUAGUCCGGAUCGCAGUCUGCAACUCGACUGCGUGAAGUCGGAAUCGCUAGUAAUCGCGGAUCGGCAUGUCGCGGUGAAUACGUUCCAGGUCUUGUACACACCGCCCGUCACACCAUGGGAGUGGGUUUACCAGAAGUAGUUAGCCUAACCAUGGGAGGCGAUUACCACGGUAGGAUUCAUGACUGGGGUGAAGUCGUAACAAGGAAAUG
rnacentral:rRNA from 1 species